rnacentral:rRNA from 1 species
AGAUUUGUCCUCGUACCUUUUGCAUCAUGAUCUAGCUAGCACCCCCAGGCAAAGAGACCUCUAGUCUGACACCCCGAAACCGGACGAGCUACCCCGGGACAGCUUACAAGAGCCAACCCGUCUCUGUGGCAAAAGAGUGGGAAGAUCCCCCGGUAGAGGUGAAAUGCCUACCGAGUCAGGUUAUAGCUGGUUACCUAGGAAACGAAUAGAAGUUCAGCCCUGCCUUCUCCCCCACCAAUAAAGCCAAGCUAAGCAAGGAUACGGGACCCAGCAGGAGUUAGUUGAGAGAGGUACAGCUCUCCCAACAAAGGACACAACCUCUAUCAGGAGGCUAAGGAAUAUAAUUCAGAAGUUAGGGGCCGCAGUGGGCCCAAAGGCAGCCACCUGGAAAGAAAGCGUUAAAGCUCAGACCCUCACCUAGACUAUUAUUACAUUAAGCACCCCCACGCCCCUAAUCCUACUAGGCCGCCCCAUGCGCCCAUGGGAGAGACCAUGCUAGAACGAGUAACAAGAAGAAUGAACUUCUCCCAGCACACG